CCUACGGGAGGCAGCAGUGGGGAAUAUUGGGCAAUGGGCGCAAGCCUGACCCAGCAACGCCGCGUGAAGGAAGAAGGCUUUCGGGUUGUAAACUUCUUUUAAGAGGGAAGAGCAGAAGACGGUACCUCUUGUAUCAGCCACGGCUAACUACGUGCCAGCAGCCGAGGUAAUACGUAGGUGGCAAGCGUUGUCCGGAUUUACUGGGUGUAAAGGGCGUGCAGCCGGGAAGACAAGUCAGAGGUGAAAUCCCGGGGCUCAACCGCGGAACUGCAUUUGAAACUGUUUUUCUUGAGUACCGGAGAGGUAAGCGGAAUUCCUUGUGUAGCGGUGAAAUGCGUAGAUAUAUGGAGGAACACCAGUGGCGAAGGCGACGAGCUGGGCUGCAACUGACGCUCAGUCCCGAAAGCGUGGGGAGCAAAUAGGAUUAGAUACCCGGGUAGUC
rnacentral:rRNA from 1 species